UUAGACUCUCUUAUUGCUUGAAAUUACUCACUGUCCAAGUGUGAUUAAGCUUUCGCCAGUUUUACUAGAAAGGUUUACAUUAGGUUUCUGCUACAGCAUACAGUUAACAGAUGAAUUCAUAUAGUACUGAAACAAAGAGUGAAGUAGAACUAAAAUCAGGCUCAAAUAAUGAGUAGAGUAAAUGUUACACUGCGCUGAAAGCAAACUGAAGCUGAACUGGAACUGAGACAGAAUGAAGUUUGAGCAAGAAUAAAUGACCCAGAAAAAGAUCAAUGAAAAGUGAAAUACCUUGGUCGACUCUGGGAGUGGAGUUUAGUUUUGGAUACUGAUCAGUCCUGUAACUUUAACAUAAUAAUGAGCGGGAUCGACACAGAGGCCUCCAGCCAUUUGGGGCAGGCUGGCCUUUAAUCGCUGGUUUGAGUAUGAAUACAAGCGAGGAAAAGGGGGGGGUGCUCUUUGUUCGCGGUGUUACAUGGAGAGGUGGCACUUGAGAAGGAUGAAGGAGAGCCGGUGGAGAUAAAGGUGUCACACAUACACAUGCUGGGCUGUAGCUCUGCAAUGAGGGGCUGCAAACACAGACAGCACUAGCCGCAUUCAGAGGGACAAGGCCAGUCAGCGGGCUGCUCCCAUUGUAUGUAGCCCCACACAGCAGUGAGGUGGUGUGUGUCUGGCUGAAAGAGAGACAUGAGAGCAGCCGGAUGGUCCUGAAGCAGGUGGCCCUUCACAUCUCGCAAAGGAGCCAUGAGGGCACCAUCCCCACCCUGGCCUGUCAUGCUCCCGCCGGUCUCUGGCGCUGACUAGCCUGCCUGAAUGUUUGUUCAGUCAUGGAUGCAUGGAUGGAUGGAUGAUGGAUGGUGUCUUUUGUAUGUACUAUGUAUCCUGUGAUUUUGUGGGUCGAUUUGAAAUGACUCCAGACUCUUUCGGCAAUUAAACAAAAAAAUGACUUUUUUUCCAAAACAUCUCGCCCCCUGGUGAAAUUGAAAUGGCCCCCAGUGACAACAGCGUUAAGAUCAUGUCGGCCUGCUCACACAGGACACAUAUUGAGAGGGGAAUUUUGUGAAAUUGUAGUGUCACAUAUUCCCCAUAGAUGUCAACAGGUCUUGACAGGUUUAGAGAAGACUAGCGCAUUGGUGGUAACGGUCACUCUCCUGCUCAGCUGCGAUGUGGGGGCUAAUAGUCUUUUGUGAUUUUUUUUUCUCCUAUUAUUGAGGUUUUAUUCCCCAAUGAUAACAGGCCAGCUGUUGAGCCAGGCGAACAUGCUCCUGUCUUCAUCCGCUCCUCGGAAAUGGUGCUAGCGGAGGCCGCACCGACUGUGACGUAACACGAGAUCGCUAUCACAGCGCGUAUCUGUCCGUUUUACGUGGUUUUUUUUCGGUCGGAAUCCCCCUGGCACAGUUCUAACGUGUAGAUUACUUUCAUAAACAGGAUAUUCCACAACUUCAGUUAUAUUCCAAAUCGGAUCCAUAUGAUGAUUAUGUUUUGCUCCAUCUGUUCGUAAUUCCUGGUGAAUUAUUUUAACUAGGCACUAGUUGAGUGUUUCGGAGGAGCUGUUUUUUGGUUGUUAUUAUCAGCUGCUCGUCUUUCUGCGCAUGCACAUCGCCCCGCAUGCACAUCGCCCCGCAUGCAGAUCCCCCCCGGUACCGAGCCGUCCCAGCGUUUAAACCAGCGUUUCCCAAUCCAGCCCCUUUGAGGUACGGCGCUCAGCAUAAAUGAGUACACAUCCCGUUUGAGGUAUGGCGCUCAGCGUAAAUGAGUACACAUCCUGUUUGAGGUAUGGCGCUCAGCGUAAAUGAGUACACAUCCUGUUUGAGGUACGGCGCUCAGGGUAAAUGAGUACACAUCCCGUUUGAGGUAUGGCGCUCAGCGUAAAUGAGUACACAUCCUGUUUGAGGUACGGCGCUCAGGGUAAAUGAGUACACACCCCCUUUGAGGUACAGCGCUCAGUGUAAAUGAGUACACAUCCCGUUUGAGGUAUGGCGCUCAGGGUAAAUGAGUACACAUCCCGUUUGAGGUAUGGCGCUCAGCGUAAAUGAGUACACAUCCCGUUUGAGGUACGGCGCUCAGCGUAAAUGAGUACACAUCCCGUUUGAGGUAUGGCGCUCAGCGUAAAGGAGUACACAUCCCGUUUGAGGUACGGCGCUCAGCGUAAAUGAGUACACAUCCCGUUUGAGGUACGGCGCUCAGCGUAAAUGAGUACACAUCUCGUUUGAGGUAUGGCGCUCAGCGUAAAUGAGUACACAUCCCGUUUGAGGUAUGGCGCUCAGCGUAAAUGAGUACACAUCCCGUUUGAGGUAUGGCGCUCAGCGUAAAUGAGUACACAUCCCGUUUGAGGUAUGGCACAGCGUAAAUGAGUACACAUCCCGUUUGAGGUAUGGCGCUCAGCGUAAAUGAGUACACAUCCCGUUUGAGGUAUGGCACUCAGCAUAAAUGAGUACGCCCCCUUUGAGGUAUGGCACUCAGCGUAAAUGAGUACACAUCCCAUUUGAGGUAUGGCGCUCAGGGUAAAUGAGUACACAUCCCAUUUGAGGUAUGGCACUCAGCAUAAAUGAGUACACACCCCCUUUGAAAAUUUAUAUUUUUAUCCAUUUUGCAGUGAACACCAGAACAUUUACCCAUUUUGUUUCAUUAGCAACAUAAAAGCUUGGUUAUCAGUAUCAUUAGAAUAAGAAAAUAAUACAUUUUAUUCAAAUGAAGUAUUGCAAAAAAUGAACACACCCUACAACAAAUUCUGCAAAGUUUUAAUAUUUUGUAUGGCAUACAUGAUUUUGAAGAACAGAACCAACUUUUCUACACAUGGAAUAAUCAAGUUACUUACAGCACUCAUACAAGCCCAUAGGUGAACACUGCCACCGCCAUGCCGUUCUGUGGGUACCUUGCAUUUGCCAUUGUACACUUUUGAUGGCAUCAGUUCCAAAAAGAUUUGCCUUUGACUCAUCACUCCGAAGUGAGUCUCCGUGGUCUUCACCUUUGUCUGAGUGGGCCCUGGCAAACGCUAAACAGCUCUUUUGUGCAUUGGCUUUAGCAAUGGCUUCCUUCGUGACGACGCCCGUCCAUGGCACUCCUCUGCAUUGUGUCGCGGGAAACGGUCACCCCACUUUGGCCUUCUGUUGCUUUAGGUGACUGUAAUGAACUUGCAUUGCAAUUUUCCUCAACUCUUCUUAUAAAAAGCUCAUGCUAAGGGGCUGGCUUCCAUGGACGUCCCGGACGUCUCAGCUUGUCACAUCUUUUUUGAAUUUCAAAUUCACUUUCAUUACUGUAUUCUGACUGAUUAGCAAUGCUCUACUAAUUGAAAUUACUUUUCUCAAGUCUUGCGAUUUUAAUUUUUUUUUCCACUUGUGGUGCGAUUUUUGUCAGCAUUAAAUGGGAGGGGGUUUUAUUUGUUAAAAACCACCCUUAAUUCUCAGUUUUCUGGUGCCCACCUGUGUGAUGAUUAAGUAGACUCAUCUGUUGCAUUCAUGUUAAUUAGCAUUUUAUAAGUUUUGUUCCAAGCACCUUCAUUUCGGUGCACUCACUUUUGCACCAUGGUCUUAAAUUUAGCUAAAAAAAAUCUGUUUUGUUUUUUGUAUUAACAAAUCUCAUUUGCAAACAAAAUAAAUUUUCUGGAAUAUGUUAUGGUAUAGGAGCCCAAAUGAAGUACAAAUUCUAAAGAGAACGUAACACUAAAACCAUUUUCAGAUGAAA